AUGGAUAGCACGCCCUGCCCUAUAAUGAGCUGGAACGUUAGAGGCUUAAACACGCCGGCUCGACGCUCUGUAGUUUGUGAGGCUGUGAGCACGCAUAGGCUAGCUAUUCUAUGUCUCCAGGAGACAAAGAUCGAGAACUGGUCGCCAACGAUAGCAAAGGAAAUCGGAGGGAGUAGACUAGAUGAUUGCGUCGUGCUACCUGCCAUGGGAACACGAGGAGGAGUCGCCAUUUUCUGGAACUCCGACACUGUCUUCGUUCAAACCCACGCGAUAGUCCAGUUCUCCAUCACGGCUAAAGUUAGUAUAAUCGGAGCCCAGGACUACUUCUGGCUGACAACG
rnacentral:rRNA from 1 species